UACGUAGGGUGCAAGCGUUAAUCGGAAUUACUGGGCGUAAAGCGAGCGUAGUCGGUUAUUUAAGUCGGAUGUGAAAUCCCCGGGCUCAACCUGGGAAUUGCAUUCGAUACUGGAUAGCUAGAGUUCGGCAGAGGGAAGCGGAAUUUCGGGUGUAGCGGUGAAAUGCGUAGAUAUCCGAAGGAACAUCAGUGGCGAAGGCGACUACCUGGACCAGCACUGACACUGAGGCACGAAAGCGUGGGGAGCAAACAGG
rnacentral:rRNA from 1 species